rnacentral:rRNA from 1 species
UGACUGACUGAGGCUACCUUGUUACGACUUCACCCCAGUUAUCGGUCCCGCCUUCGGCAGCUCCCUCCUUGCGGUUGGGUCACUGACUUCGGGCGUUACUGACUCCCAUGGUGUGACGGGCGGUGUGUACAAGACCCGGGAACGUAUUCACCGCGACAUUCUGAUUCGCGAUUACUAGCGAUUCCAGCUUCAUGUAGUCGAGUUGCAGACUACAAUCCGAACUGAGACGUUAUUUUUGAGAUUUGCUCGGCCUCGCGGCUCUGCCUCCCUUUGUUUACGCCAUUGUAGCACGUGUGUAGCCCUGCCCAUAAGGGGCAUGAUGAUUUGACGUCAUCCCCACCUUCCUCCAGGUUAUCCCUGGCAGUCUCUCCAGAGUGCCCAUCCUAAAUGCUGGCUACUGAAGAUAAGGGUUGCGCUCGUUGCGGGACUUAACCCAACAU